rnacentral:rRNA from 1 species
AUUGAACGCUGGCGGCAGGCCUAACACAUGCAAGUCGAGCGGAUGAAGGGAGCUUGCUCCUGGAUUCAGCGGCGGACGGGUGAGUAAUGCCUAGGAAUCUGCCUGGUAGUGGGGGAUUACGUCCGGAAACGGGCGCUAAUACCGCAUACGUCCUGAGGGAGAAAGUGGGGGAUCUUCGGACCUCACGCUAUCAGAUGAGCCUAGGUCGGAUUAGCUAGUUGGUGGGGUAAAGGCCUACCAAGGCGACGAUCCGUAACUGGUCUGAGAGGAUGAUCAGUCACACUGGAACUGAGACACGGUCCAGACUCCUACGGGAGGCAGCAGUGGGGAAUAUUGGACAAUGGGCGAAAGCCUGAUCCAGCCAUGCCGCGUGUGUGAAGAAGGUCUUCGGAUUGUAAAGCACUUUAAGUUGGGAGGAAGGGCAGUAAGUUAAUACCUUGCUGUUUUGACGUUACCAACAGAAUAAGCACCGGCUAACUUCGUG